GUAACGUUGCCUAAUGGGCUAAUUACAAUUCAUAAGCCUUCGAGGUAACCAGCUGUAGGAAAUGGGUGCUACGAAGACUCAAAGAAUCCAAGAAGCCACGUCCUGGUGUCAGGUGCACAUCUUCAGUCUGAUGGGUCGUCGGAGGUGGUGGUGUUCAGCUGACGACUCACGACGACAGUACAACUUAUUUGUAAGUCCAAAGUGGUGGCACUCAGCCGCCUGCUGGCACUGCCCCACAGCUGUGCCUCUGCGCCCCUGGGGGCAGGAGCACAGGAGAGGCCCCUUCCGUGGGGACAGAGCCCUCUCGCCGCGCCCCACCGCGCAGCCCCGAGCUGGGAGGGGGGACUGAGAGGGGCGGUCAGAUGGGCAGCAGCCCAUCACAGACCACACGCAGG
ensembl:lncRNA